rnacentral:rRNA from 1 species
AUGGACCUUGAAUCCCUCAUCAUGUUGGUUCCAUGGGAGAUUCAGAACGAGCGGAAUGUGAGAAUGUUUAUGAAUGUGUCAUCCAUGCCAAAUCUAACCACAUACAAAAUUAAGACCAAGUUCAGGCAUUGGGGUUGUCAGGGUAGCCUAGUCAUUUGGGACCGUAUUUGUGCGGUCUUUUAUUAA